rnacentral:rRNA from 4 species
UUUGGUUAAGUUAGAAAGGGCGCACGGUGGAUGCCUUGACACUAGGAGUCGAUGAAGGACGGGACUAACGCCGAUAUGCUUCGGGGAGCUGUAAGUAAGCUUUGAUCCGAAGAUUUCCGAAUGGGGAAACCCACCAUACGUAAUGGUAUGGUAUCCUUAUCUGAAUACAUAGGGUAAGGAAGACAGACCCAGGGAACUGAAACAUCUAAGUACCUGGAGGAAGAGAAAGCAAAUGCGAUUUCCUGAGUAGCGGCGAGCGAAACGGAACAUAGCCCAAACCAAGAGGCUUGCCUCUUGGGGUUGUAGGACAUUCUAUACGGAGUUACAAAGGAACGAGGUAGACGAAGCGACCUGGAAAGGUCCGUCGUAGAGGGUAACAACCCCGUAGUCGAAACUUCGUUCUCUCUUGAAUGUAUCCUGAGUACGGCGGAACACGUGAAAUUCCGUCGGAAUCUGGGAGGACCAUCUCCCAAGGCUAAAUACUCCCUAGUGAUCGAUAGUGAACCAGUACCGUGAGGGAAAGGUGAAAAGCACCCCGGAAGGGGAGUGAAAGAGAUCCUGAAACCGUGUGCCUACAAAUAGUCAGAGCCCGUUAAUGGGUGAUGGCGUGCCUUUUGUAGAAUGAACCGGCGAGUUACGAUCCCGUGCGAGGUUAAGCUGAAGAGGCGGAGCCGCAGCGAAAGCGAGUCUGAAUAGGGCGUUUAGUACGUGGUCGUAGACCCGAAACCAGGUGAUCUACCCAUGUCCAGGGUGAAGUUCAGGUAACACUGAAUGGAGGCCCGAACCCACGCACGUUGAAAAGUGCGGGGAUGAGGUGUGGGUAGCGGAGAAAUUCCAAUCGAACCUGGAGAUAGCUGGUUCUCCCCGAAAUAGCUUUAGGGCUAGCCUUAAGUGUAAGAGUCUUGGAGGUAGAGCACUGAUUGGACUAGGGGUCCUCAUCGGAUUACCGAAUUCAGUCAAACUCCGAAUGCCAAUGACUUAUCCUUAGGAGUCAGACUGCGAGUGAUAAGAUCCGUAGUCAAAAGGGAAACAGCCCAGACCGCCAGCUAAGGUCCCAAAGUGUGUAUUAAGUGGAAAAGGAUGUGGAGUUGCUUAGACAACUAGGAUGUUGGCUUAGAAGCAGCCACCAUUUAAAGAGUGCGUAAUAGCUCACUAGUCGAGUGACUCUGCGCCGAAAAUGUACCGGGGCUAAAUACACCACCGAAGCUGCGGAUUGAUACCAAUGGUAUCAGUGGUAGGGGAGCGUUCUAAGGACAGUGAAGUCAGACCGUAAGGACUGGUGGAGUGCUUAGAAGUGAGAAUGCCGGUAUGAGUAGCGAAAGACGGGUGAGAAUCCCGUCCACCGAAUGCCUAAGGUUUCCUGAGGAAGGCUCGUCCGCUCAGGGUUAGUCAGGACCUAAGCCGAGGCCGACAGGCGUAGGCGAUGGACAACAGGUUGAUAUUCCUGUACCACCUCUUUAUCGUUUGAGCAAUGGAGGGACGCAGAAGGAUAGAAGAAGCGUGCGAUUGGUUGUGCACGUCCAAGCAGUUAGGCUGAUAAGUAGGCAAAUCCGCUUAUCGUGAAGGCUGAGCUGUGAUGGGGAAGCUCCUUAUGGAGCGAAGUCUUUGAUUCCCCGCUGCCAAGAAAAGCUUCUAGCGAGAUAAAAGGUGCCUGUACCGCAAACCGACACAGGUAGGCGAGGAGAGAAUCCUAAGGUGUGCGAGAGAACUCUGGUUAAGGAACUCGGCAAAAUGACCCCGUAACUUCGGGAGAAGGGGUGCUUUCUUAACGGAAAGCCGCAGUGAAUAGGCCCAAGCGACUGUUUAGCAAAAACACAGCUCUCUGCGAAGCCGUAAGGCGAAGUAUAGGGGGUGACACCUGCCCGGUGCUGGAAGGUUAAGGAGAGGGGUUAGCGUAAGCGAAGCUCUGAACUGAAGCCCCAGUAAACGGCGGCCGUAACUAUAACGGUCCUAAGGUAGCGAAAUUCCUUGUCGGGUAAGUUCCGACCCGCACGAAAGGUGUAACGAUUUGGGCACUGUCUCAACCAGAGACUCGGUGAAAUUAUAGUACCUGUGAAGAUGCAGGUUACCCGCGACAGGACGGAAAGACCCCGUGGAGCUUUACUGUAGCCUGAUAUUGAAUUUUGGUACAGUUUGUACAGGAUAGGCGGGAGCCUUUGAAACCGGAGCGCUAGCUUCGGUGGAGGCGCUGGUGGGAUACCGCCCUGACUGUAUUGAAAUUCUAACCUACGGGUCUUAUCGACCCGGGAGACAGUGUCAGGUGGGCAGUUUGACUGGGGCGGUCGCCUCCUAAAGUGUAACGGAGGCGCCCAAAGGUUCCCUCAGAAUGGUUGGAAAUCAUUCGUAGAGUGCAAAGGCAUAAGGGAGCUUGACUGCGAGACCUACAAGUCGAGCAGGGACGAAAGUCGGGCUUAGUGAUCCGGUGGUUCCGCAUGGAAGGGCCAUCGCUCAACGGAUAAAAGCUACCCCGGGGAUAACAGGCUUAUCUCCCCCAAGAGUCCACAUCGACGGGGAGGUUUGGCACCUCGAUGUCGGCUCAUCGCAUCCUGGGGCUGUAGUCGGUCCCAAGGGUUGGGCUGUUCGCCCAUUAAAGCGGUACGCGAGCUGGGUUCAGAACGUCGUGAGACAGUUCGGUCCCUAUCCGUCGUGGGCGUAGGAAAUUUGAGAGGAGCUGUCCUUAGUACGAGAGGACCGGGAUGGACGCACCGCUGGUGUACCAGUUGUUCUGCCAAGGGCAUAGCUGGGUAGCUAUGUGCGGAAGGGAUAAGUGCUGAAAGCAUCUAAGCAUGAAGCCCCCCUCAAGAUGAGAUUUCCCAUAGCGUAAGCUAGUAAGAUCCCUGAAAGAUGAUCAGGUUGAUAGGUUCGAGGUGGAAGCAUGGUGACAUGUGGAGCUGACGAAUACUAAUAGAUCGAGGACUUAACCAUAUAA